GACGAACGCUGGCGGCGUGCUUAACACAUGCAAGUCGAACGGAAAGGCCCCCACUUUUUUGGUGGGGGUGCUCGAGUGGCGAACGGGUGAGUAACACGUGGGUGAUCUGCCCUGUACUUCGGGAUAAGCUUGGGAAACUGGGUCUAAUACCGGAUAGGACCAUGGUUUAGUGUCUCAUGGUGGAAAAAUUAUUGUUUUGGUGCAGGAUGAGCUCGCGGCCUAUUAGCUUGUUGGUGGGGUAAUGGCCUACCAAGGCGUCGACGGGUAGCCGGCCUGAGAGGGUGGACGGCCACAUUGGGACUGAGAUACGGCCCAGACUCCUACGGGAGGCAGCAGUGGGGAAUAUUGCACAAUGGGCGCAAGCCUGAUGCAGCGACGCCGCGUGGGGGAUGACGGCCGUCGGGUUGUAAACUCCUUUCGUUAGGGACGAAGCCGCACCUUUUUUGGGUGUGGUGACGGUACCUUUGUUAAGAAGCACCGGCUAACUACGUG
rnacentral:rRNA from 1 species